GGCUGAAACUCGCCUACCAUGAAGCUGGAAUUGCUAGUAAUCACAGGUCAGCAUACUGUGGUGAAUACGUUCCCGGGCCUUGUACACACCGCCCGUCACACCAUGAGAGUUGAGAAUACCCGAAGCCCAUGUCAAAGUGGUCGAAGGUAGGCUUGAUGAUUGGGGUGAAGUCGUAACAAGGUAGC
rnacentral:rRNA from 1 species